GUGGACGUAGCUCAGUUGGUAGAGCCCCGGAUUGUGGUUCCGGUUGUCGUGGGUUCAAGUCCCAUCGUUCACCCCA
rnacentral:tRNA from 1 species